ACAAACUAUUUCUGCGGGGGUUUCAGAUGUUCGAGACUAGUCGCUGUUGUAUAUGUUUUUUAGGUUCAACAAUACCAGGGACACCUUGUGUUGACACCUCAUCAAUUGUUAUCGGUGUAAACUGCAUUGUCACGCUACUUAAAGCCGCGCAGAUGAAUACAUAUUAAUUACUGACACGCGGUUAUAAUGGGCGCAAGCCGUGGAAACGUGCCUUAAGAAAAACAGGUGCUAUUAGCAUCUGAUCCACAGACGAGGAUUUAGCCAAUUGUACAACAGGUUGAGUUAAAUAAAAACUUCCAAAGAUUUUUUUAGCCAGUUUUGAGAGUGACAAUCUCCAAUAACCCAAUACAAUAUAUUCUUACGUCUAAUUUUCCGCUUGACAUGGCCUGGUCGCUUUUUUUCUUUUUGUACUUGUCUUUGUACAUUUUAUUACGAUGUUUCUUGCACAUCCAGGGCUUCCGCUGCUUGGCCACCUGGGUGGUGGUCUCACUGCAUCCCUCGUAAGUACAUUUCUUGGUCACAUUCUCGUUGUCGCCAAAGGUCUCCUCGUCGUUCAGGUCCUCCGGGCUGGCAGUGCUGUCCCUGGGGUCGGUGGUUUCCAGCACGUCGCUCUCGUCGCCGGGAUCUUCCAUGUCAAAAGGGAACACACUGUCCGGCUCGUGCGGCGUGACCACAUUCCGGCUUUCCACAACCCCACUUUUGUCCACGAAGUACGUCUGUCCGUCUUUGCUAUGUUUUGAAGAGAUCCCCUCAUCAAAGUAAAUUUCCUACGUUUGUGAAUCAGCUGUUGCUCUAGCUGCAGUGCUGGCUUCUGCAAUGUGACGUGACGUGUAUACCCGAGUGAAAUGGAUCUUUCGGGGGCAGGGAAUCGAUUUGACUGUUAAAUGAGGAGGGGGAUGUCAAACAAGGAGGCCCACCGCUGCGGAAAAGGGUAUUGAGGGGAGCGGAAAAUUGAUUGACAUUAGAUCGACGUACACGCCCACUGGUGCAUAAUGACAUAAAGUCUAGGUUCAAAAUGUUUUCCAGGAAGUGGACGGGGAAAAAAAGCUUUAUUCUGAAAAACACAAGUAUUACAAUUGUAUUCUUUUUAUGUGUUUAAGACGUGUUUGUGUGGUUCUGAAGAAUUGACUUGAGGAUUGAUGGUUCGUGAUGCAGUGUACCAAGCUUACCUUCAGAGCCUGUCCUGGUUUCCCUUUGGGUCCAGCUCCAUCAUCUUAAUUCCCAUCUCGACGCUAAGUUCAGCACCAUUUUCUUUUCUCCUCUGUAGGCCCGAGAUGAAAAUGAACCUAAUUUCCCAAAUGAAGCCCCUUUAAUUUUGAGAGCGCACUGCGACCCCCUCAGGACGGAGUCUUUUACUGCGUUCUCCCUGGCGGGGUUCAGGUGGCCGAGGGUUGUUGACAGGAAAUGAAAUGGCGUUUUUGAAAUCUCAUCAAAGGCUUCAUUAAUUUGGACGGUCUCGACAAAUAACCCUGUGAACGCUCCGCGCUUGUUUACGGAGCUGGGGAAGCACUGUAAUGAAAAGUUCCCCAGCACCCCCCCCUCCCAUCCCCAAGGUUCUGGGGGGCUCUAAAUUGAAAUCAAUAUGAUGUUUUCUUUGAGCGGUCGGGUCAAUUGAUUCUAAUUUAUCACGGCUCCCUGAAGGAAAGUCUAAGAUGGAACAACCUUACAGCAUCCGCCACAAUCUUGUACGAAGAUGUAAUUUCGCACGUCCAGAAAGGACACAUUAAUUUAUUUUAUUUUUGUGUUUUAACUGCUUGUUAAAUCAAGCUGAACCUACCCUUGUGGUUUGCACCACAAUUCCAAAUAAUUAUCAUUCCCUGUGACUGUCUCAAGGAAGAAAUGCUGGUUUAUUUUGUAGACUCGCAUAAAGCACAAAUCAAUUUGCAGUUUAAUCACGUGGCGGAUGCUAAUGGUAUCACAAAAGUGCAUUUCACACAACAGCCAAAUACUGCUAGAGCUAGAGACAGCCUAAGAUACUCUCACUUAAAUUCUACUGCCUAUGUGCAUGUUUAAGAUGACCUGAUAAGGGGACAGAAUGGUUUGUUUUUUAAAUUGGAAGCAUUGGUGUGUGGUCUGAAAGGGAGGGUUAUUAGACGUUCACAGGCAAUUGCCAAUAAGGUGCCUUCCUGGGUGACUGGGUAGGUUCCACCGAUGGUUGCUCCAGCAAUGAGGGUUGUUCCACCAAUGGGAGAUGAGGACAGAGAAGUAAGGAGAGGCUUCCGGAAGAGAUGGCACAACCAGGAGGUGAGAGGACGCCGAACGGAAAGUUCUAAUUCGAGGGUAGAGUCAUCGUUGUGUGAUAAAAGGAAGGCUACAGCUUACUAUACCAUUGAGUUUGAUGUAAAAUAAAAUGAAGACACUAAUAUUCAGAUAUUGAACCCUGUGGGGUCAUUUGCCCUCUGCAUUUAAUCCAUCCUAGCUCCUUAGGCACAGUGGGCCGCCACACCGGUUCUGAGGCCCGUGCCUGGGUCAAGGGUAAUGGCAGGAGUAAAUAUCUACUCUGACAUGCACGUCUUUGAGUGUGGGAGGAAACUGGAGUACCUGAACAGAACCCGUGCAAACACAGGGAGAAUGUGCAAGCUCCACGCAGAGUGGUUCCGGCUAGCCAGAACUGGAGCCCAGAACCCAGAACCUCCUUCUUGCGAGCCAACUGUGUUAACCACUGCCCCACCGUGCUGCCAAAUUGAAUGUGGAAGCCAGCGAAAGGGGCUCAGAAGUGGCGUGGCAUUUGCGUUCCUGUAACUGAUACAGGUACAGUGAUCUGAUGGCGCAGGUAGCAAAGGCCAGCCAGCAAGGCAUUACCGUAGUCAUGGCGACCAAAUCGUGUUCCUCAAAUAUGUACUCUCAAAACAACAGAGAACGUGUCAUUUCACACACAAAAAGUGACACAUAAAUUGUAUAUUUGUAACAGAAAAGUAGUAACACAAAAAGUGUGUUGGACAUUACCACAGCCUUUCUGAGUGUGGAUAUCGUUCAGCUAAAGGAGAGGACAGAGGUUGUGUUUGUACUUUCUAUUAAAAUGGCUGCCGACAAAAAUAUUUGUGGGUUGGAUGGAUAUUAAAUUGAGGUUGUCAGAUGGAGACAUCUGUUUUCCCUGUUGACCGGAAAUAUGGAUUGCUUAGAUGCGAUGCCACUGUGCUGUUAAAUAUUCUCCGCCCGUCAUAAUUACUUUCCAAAAUGGCAAAUAUCAGAUGGAAAAGGGCUCAGAAAAUGACCUUUAUCGAAAUUAAAACACUUUUUUGCCCUUUUAACAGGGUUGGUUUUCCUGCCCUUGACACCAGGUGACAGUGUGUGACGCAGUUCCCCGGUGCCAAAACAGCAUUUUGAAUUAAGGUUCCUUCCUAGGCGGUGCACAAUGCGUACACAUUUGAAUGUACGCAACGCCAAGUAAAGCACAGUUGUUCCGGGUAAUUAUGCGACUUCGACCUCUAUUCCCUUUUAGAACUGUCUUAAAUCUGACAGGGGAAGUUGGGCUGAGUUAUUAAUAUCUAUUAGCGACUGCGCGCGGCCCAGAAGUCUUGCUGAAGCUGAAGUUUAGCACGGACGUGAUAAGAAAGUGAAUCUUUUAAACACGAGGCUAUUAUAGAUGGGGUUUUUUUCUUCAAGUUUCAUUUCUGCCAGAAAGAGAAUGUUUCCUUGAUUCCCCCGAAUAAUGCUGUUAUCGCGGAGGAGGAAACUUGCGUCUGGAGCCAAGCAUGGUGAACAUGACAUGCUCUGCUGAGACUAUCGCAGCAGACUAUUGAACUGUAUUACAGGAAACUGGUGGUAUUUUGGAUUUAGGCUGGAGAACGCGGAAUUCUCAUCUGAUAUGUCUCACUGCUGUUUUAGCAACGUAAUGAUGCAAUAUGACACAGAGCUUCGAUGGGUUUUCAGCGCUGCAUGUCCAUGACGUUAUGUUUCUUUACUGGUUCCAUAAUUCCUUUGGGGUGGCCUGUAGCAUAGUGGUUAAGGUAGAUUAUGGGGACCCACAAGGUCGGUGGUUCAAAUCCCGGUGUGGCCACAAUAAGAUCCGCACAGCCGUUGGGCCCUUGAGCAAGGCCCUUAACCCUGCAUUGCUCCAGGGGAGGAUUGUCUCCUGCUUAGUCUGAUCACCUGUAUUUCGCUCUGGAUAAGAGCAUCUGCCAAAUGCCAUUAAUGUAAAUGUAAUGUAAUGUAAUGUCUUUAACAUUAAAAAUGAACCUAAAAUGUA